GAUCAUGGCUCAGGAUGAACGCUAGCUACAGGCUUAACACAUGCAAGUCGAGGGGCAGCAUGGUCUUAGCUUGCUAAGGCCGAUGGCGACCGGCGCACGGGUGAGUAACNCGUAUCCAACCUGCCGUCUACUCUUGGACAGCCUUCUGAAAGGAGAUUAAUACAAGAUGGUCAUCAUGAAGUCCGCUUAUGUUCACAUUAGGUACGUUAAGGUAUUCCGGUAGGGACGAU
rnacentral:rRNA from 1 species